UUACGGCCAUAUCACGUUGAAACACCGAUAGCCGUACGAUCAUAGAAGUUAAGCAACGUCGAGACUAGUCAGUACCCAGAUGGCUGAGCGUUUUGGAAUACCAGGUGCUGUG